rnacentral:lncRNA from 1 species
CCAAAUCAUAGAUCAAGAUAUUUUAUUUAUGUAUGUCUUUUAAAUGAAGAGUGGUUAGGAUAGUCCUGAUUAUUGCACAUAAAUAUUGCCUUUCACUAGAUUAUUGUUUUGGGCCAAAUUUUAGACUAUUAUUUUAAAAAAGAGUACCUUAGUUUAAUCCAACCUUUCCAGAUACUUAGAAAUUAUUGAAAUGUAUAUUUUGUGAAGAUGGUCUUAUGAAAGUUGUUGAGCUAGAAACAUGUCCUUCACCAGUGGAAUUCUUAGAAGCUUUCCUUGGGCUUCACUGGGUGCUAAUAGACCAUGAUCGUAUUGCUCUGUAUAUAAUGGUACAAAUUUUGUUUUAUAACACUCAGUCUUAAUAGAAUGGGAAUAUUUUAUCUUACUAACGUAGUCAUUAGCUGGCCACUCUCUGUGUCCAUUGGACCUUAUAGGGUAAAGGGAGGGCAGUGCGUAUUUGAAGCCUGUGCACGUGACACACAAAGGGCUUAGCAACCUCCGUGUUUUCCCAGCACAGGAUACCCAUUCUUCCUGAAUGUUUCAUUGUUAAAUUAGAUUGUGUGUGUGUGUGUGUGUGUGUGUGUGUAUUUUAUAUUAACAUACAGAUGUAUGUAUUUUAGUUGCAUUUUUUUUCUUAAAAUGUUAUUUUUUCUCUUUUUCUUUUAUGUCAGGUGAUGAUAGAGCCCCUAGGGAAGCAAAACUGUCCAUGCCCUUGCCUUAACUUUCAGAUACGAUAAAAACAACAUUUAUAAAAUACCUGUCUUAGAAAUAUUAGCUAAAAUUAUGUUGGGGAAAGUAUGUUUGAAAAUAGAAUUGUAAGCUACCACAUUGUGAUAAAUAUUACUAAAUUUGUUUAUUGACUUGUCAGGAAGCAAAAGAAUGAAUUAAAGAAAACUCCAGAGAAUGAGCUGACAACCUACUCCCUGGUCAGUGGCUCUCCAUGCCUACCUGUGGUCUCUUGGACACCCUUGCAGAAGAUGACUUCCUGGGAACUCUUCUGGGAGUGAAUGUUAUCAGCAAAUUCCCAAAACAACACCCCUUAGACAAAAAGCCUCCUCACCUAUGCAUUGCCUAGACCACCCACUAAAGGUGAUGGCCACAAAGAGGUGGAUUUGUUGAGUUGGUGCCAUUCCUUCUACUGCCAGCUUCACCAAAACAAUGACACAGUCUUCCUUCCGCAUGGAGACUCUUCUCUUUCCUGUGUUGCAGUGGAUGCCUCCUGCAGAUAAGAAAUGCUUAACUGAGAAAUGCUCAUGUUGGGAUAUCAUCGAUGAGACUUUAAUUUGGGCAUGGUGACUGUUUCCCUUGCUGCCACUUGACUCAAUCCCAGGAGCCUCAGUAGAGGAUAUAAUAUUACACAAGAUGCUCAAAAUGGUGGAAUUGCUCAGUGCUCCCAUAAAUAUACAUUUAUAAUUUUCAUUUGCCACAUGGUAAACUGAAAAAUACAGACUAUAUUAAAAAGAAACUGCAUGAUUUUUUUUCAAAAAUUCAAAGCAUAUUUAAAUAAUAUAUAAAUUAAAUGCCCUCCUCUCUUCCAAUUCUGUCCCUAUAGUUUUCCUCUAUUAAGUGAACUACAUGCAUUCUUUUAGUGGAUAGAUGCACACAAACACACAAGCCAUUAUGGGGAAGGAUCCACGUGUGUGGCCAUAUUGUAACACAUUUUUCUGCAAAUCACCUCUUUCAUUUAACAGCCCUUAUUCAAUGGCCUUUUUCUUUUUCAGUAGUACAUACACAUCUGUGUCAUUUGUUGAAUGACGACAUGAAUGUUUUGUAGAUAAAAUAUAAUUAAAUGUUUUAAGCAUUUCUCACUCAUAGAUAUUUAUGUUAGCACCAAAUUUCUGUGCAAUGAACCUCCCUAUAUAUCAGUAAUUUUGCAUUUGUCUAUAAUAUCAUAAUAAAUUACUUAUCAGUUGAAUUACUGGGAUUAAGUAUGUGCACACUUUAUAUUUAUAUUUUGAAAAUUAUUGCAAGAUUGCCUUCAAAAAUGUGGUUAACAACUUUAUCUUCAAAUGGCAAUGAAUGAGAUUGCCAGCUUUCCUACAGCCUCACAGACAAUGGAUUUUAUAAAUAUUUAAC